rnacentral:misc_RNA from 1 species
CAUUACCGAGCUCAUGCCCUUACGGGUAGAUCUCCCACCCUAUGUUAUCAUUACCUUUGUUGCUUUGGCGGGCCGCCCGGCCUCGGUCAGGCUAUCGGCUUCGGCUGGUAAGCGCCCGCCAGAGGACCCCAAAUCCUGAUUAUUAGUGUCGUCUGAGUACUAUAUAAUAGUUAAAACUUUCAACAACGGAUCUCUUGGUUCUGGCAUCGAUGAAGAACGCAGCGAAAUGCGAUAAGUAAUGUGAAUUGCACAAUUCAGUGAAUCAUCGAAUCUUUGAACGCACAUUGUUCCCCUUGGUAUUCCGAGGGGCAUGCCUGUUCGAGCGUCAUUACAACCCCUUGCAUUGCUUGGUCUUGGGCCCCGCUGCUUCCCCAGCGGUCCUUACCACCUUGUUUCUGCCUUCAGGCCCAGAGAGUAUUAAAUCUUAGCAUUGCUUGGUCUUGGGCUCCGCUGCUUCCCCAGCGGGCCUUAAAAUCAGUGGCGGUGCCGUCGGGCCCUGAGCGUAGUAAAUCUUCUCGCUACAGGGUGUCGAUGGACGCUGGCCAUCA